GAAGAAGAAGAAGAAGAAGAAGGAAGGUUGGUUCCCGUUUGGCUUAUGAGUUGAGCCUAGCCUAUGUUCGCGUUGUUUUUGGUUGGAUAAGCGAAUGAGGUAAC